AUACUUACCUGGCAGGGGAGGGAGAUUCCAUGAUCACGAAGGUGGUUUUCCCAGAGCGAGGCUUAUCCAUUGCACUCCGGAUGUGCUGACCCCUGUGAUUUCCCCAAAUGUGAGAAACUCGUUUGCAUAAUUUGUGGUAGUGGGGGACUGCGUUUGCGCGCUCCCCUU
rnacentral:snRNA from 1 species